AUGGACGGAAGGCGGGGUCGCUGUUGGGCAUGCUGUUCUCAGGAGGGCAAGCAAAGCUCUGGGGCACUGCUUCUGAAAGCCUCUGCUCACAAUCGGCAGCUGACACCUGCAGACAAUCUCCACUGUUGCAAAUUAUUCUCUGAAGGACAUACUUAAAACUAAAAGAUGUUGGAUCUCCAAUAUGAAUUCGUGUUAAUCAAUGUCCUCCACUCUAUUUUACAAUCAGCUCUUUGAGUGGGUGGGUCUAAAAUAAGAUUCAUGCACAAGGUUUGUGUGCAAACCAUGUGAUCAGAAGUAUUGUUAUGGGAUGAAUUGUGUUCCCCCAGAUUUAUAUGUUGAAUUCCUAAUUCUCAGAACUUCAGAAUGUGACCUUAUUUGGAAAUAGGAUCAUUGCAGAGGUAUUUCGUGAAGAUCAGUUCAUACUGGAGUGAGGUGGACCUGUAAUCCAGUUGAAUUUGUAUCCUUAUAAAAAGGGGAUGUCUGGACACAGACAGAUACACAGGAAGAACAUCACAUAAACAAGAAGACAGAGAUUGGGGUAAUGUUUCUACAAGUCAAGGAUUAACAAAGAUUGCCUGCAAACCACAGAAACCAGGAAAGAGGCCUCAAAGAGAUUCUCACUCACACCCUCAGGAGGAACCAACCCUGCUGACCUUAAUCUCGGACUUCUGGUCUCCCGAAUUGUGAGAAAAUAAAUUUCUGUUGUUUCAGCAAUUCAGUGUAUGGUACUUUGUUACAGGAGCCCUAACACAGCAUGAACGACUGAAUCUGUAGAAAUUUAAUUCUGUUUUCGGAUCUAAACACUGGAAAAUUGAACAAAGGUAGAAGAUUCAGAGGCCACAAAGGCAGUGGAACACUUUGAGUAAAGGAGCGUGGGCAUCAAAAUUGAAUAUUCCUUCUAUUUUCUGGAAAAACAAAACAAAACAGGAACUGUAGGUCACACUUGUGUCCGUAUGUUGGUAGUUUUAAGAAAAAGGGCUUGGGUAAAGAGUUUCUCUGAGAUUUCUGACUUUUCCAUUGAUUAUAACCAUUUCCCAUAGCUACUUAUAAGUCAUGGGCUCAUAUGCCUGACAAAAUGUAUUAAAAUAUUCAAAGUAAAAAUAAUCUAGAUCUAGAGUCAGCCACACUUGGGAUUUCGAUUUGCUUGGGAAUUUUGUAUCUGCUGAAACCUGCCUGCCUUGACCUGUUUUUUCCUUCCCAUGCUAAAUUCCUACAUUCUCUAUCUUUCAUUUCACCCACUUAGGCAGAACUGAAAUUGCAUAAGCUCCAUUUCAAGGCCCUAAGGUCAAGACCCCUGGCUGUUCUUGACCUGCAGCAGCCCUUAACCCUUAGCUCCUGCAUCUCCAGCCUGACCAUCCGCCAGCUGCUUUUGAGCAGCUUUGUUCAUCUGCUCUUCAUGCAUUCAGUAUUAAAGUGAGAUUUUAUAUUUAUGCUCAUAUCAAAACACUAGAAAUGAUUCACUAUUUUUUUAUUCGGGGUGAAAAAUCUUCAAGGCUCCUUCUUUCAGUAUACAACUUUAUAUUAUCGUGCAGCAUAACUGCAGUAGCACAGUU
ensembl:lincRNA